rnacentral:misc_RNA from 1 species
GAUGAAGAACGUAGCGAAAUGCGAUACGUAAUGUGAAUUGCAGAAUUCAGUGAAUCAUCGAAUCUUUGAACGCAUAUUACGCUCUCUGGUAUUCCGGAGAGCAUGCUUGUUUGAGUAUCAGUAAACACCUCAACUCCCUUUUCUUUUUUGAAAUUGGAGCUGGACUUGAGUGAUCCCAACGCUUUCUUCCAAGAAAGUGGCGGGUUGCUUGAAAUGCAGGUGCAGCUGAACUUUUCUCUGAGCUAUAAGCAUAUCUAUUUAGUCUGCCUAAAAAACAGAUUAUUACCUUUGCUGCAGCUAACAUAAAGGAGACUAGUUCUUGUGCUGACUGAUGCAGGAUUCACAGAGACAGCUUCGGCUGACUUUGUAAACUCGAUCUCAAAUCAAGUAAGACUACCCGCUGAACUUAAGCAUAUCAAUAAGCGGAGGA